CACGCCGUAAACGAUGAGUACUAGGUGUUAGGGGGUUUCCGCCCCUUAGUGCUGCAGCUAACGCAUUAAGCACUCCGCCUGGGGAGUACGACCGCAAGGUUGAAACUCAAAGGAAUUGACGGGGGCCCGCACAAGCGGUGGAGCAUGUGGUUUAAUUCGAAGCAACGCGAAGAACCUUACCAGGUCUUGACAUCCCAGUGACCACUCUAGAGAUAGAGUUUUCCCUUCGGGGACAUUGGUGACAGGUGG
rnacentral:rRNA from 1 species